UAUUAGCCAAUCCAAGAAGAGAAUCUUAUCGGAGGCCGGUAAUGAUGCAACCAAUGCAACGUACGCCGGCUGGAACGGGGCGGGGAUAGAGUUGAUUGGCAGAGCAUGCUCCUAUCGCUGAAGCCGUUGAUCCUUGGGCCGCUGAGGGGAGGAGCCGAGCGGCGUUCGCGGGAGGCAGCUUCCUCGACCUUCAGGCGCCCGGAGACAAACGGGAGGACAGGAAUCUCUAAAGAGUGAGAGGAAAACUGAUGACAGGCACUGCCCAAAGAAGAUGGAACUGUCAUAGUUGUUUUUGUUUAGGAUCUGCUUACCCCCCUGAGAACAUAAGCUUGAUGAAGGCAAGGACCGUUUCUUAUCACUGUUGAAUCCCAGUUCCUGGUACAGUGCCUGGCACAUAGUGGAUGGUCAAUGGAUUUAUGAAUGAAUGAACAAAUUAACAAACAACCAUGGGGUGUGUGAAGAGCAGUAAAAAGACUGGACUAUUUGGAAAGAAGUGUCUUUCCUUGAGGAGUAGAGGAAUCUCCGAUUCUCCAACAGACUGGCAGAGGAACAAGUAAAUGGGCCUGCAUGGGAUUCAAAACACAGGGGCAAGUGGAACCAGCUGAACAAGAUAACAAUAGAGGUGAAGCCUAACCCUGGAAACCAGUCAAGAUUUCCAAAGAUAAACCCUCGGGCAGCAAGAACACUGUCAAUGAAAAGAAACUGACCUUUCGCCUUCUGGAGUCACAGAAUUCCCACAAAUGCUGUGUCCUCAUCAGCUCUGGCAGCCUCGCCACCACAGCCCGGACUUCGACGCCAAUUCAUAAACAGCACGGAGGGGGCUGUGCUAGAAGUCAGAGCUUCUCCACCUCCAGCACCUCAAAAUACAGGCUCCCUGCCACCCCAUUUUCUUCUAGAGGUUAACCUUCUCCCCAGGCUCACAAAGUUAUGAGAGCCUUUAAGGGGUUUUCCUCUGACAGUGUGGUCUAGUCUGCUGCUGCUGAAGAGAUCUCAGGAUGGUCCCUAGGCUUUGUGAUUCAAAAUAAGGAGAAUGGAUAAACAGACAAGACUGAAGAGGCAGAAGGAAAGGAGGAGAUGAACAAAAGACAGAACAGAAGAAAUGGAAAGUGAGGGGUUAAGACAGUGAGGAGCUCCAGAGCUGAUGAAAUGUAAGAAUCAGAGAGAACCGGAAGGAUGUUUCCCUCCCAUAGACGCUGCUGUCAAGAAGCAAGCUGCUGAGAAUUCCCUGGCUGUCCAGUGGUUAGGACUCCGCGCUUUCACUGCUGAGGGCCCGGGUUCGGGGAACUAAGGUCACGCAAGCCAUGUGGCGCAGCCGAAGAAAACAGCAAGCUGCUGAUCUCCUCAUGGAGUAACCUGUUUUAACGAUCACAACAACCGUGGCAAUUGCUUCCCCUGACCGGUUCCCCUCCCCACCGUUUUUCUAGCCAUGCUUACUAACACUGAGGCAGGAAAAUAAGACCCCAACAGAAAGGUAGUGAGGAAUUGUUAUCAACGUUCCUGAGAGCAAAAGCCAGGCGUAAAUAAUCUUGGUAACCCACAUAGUACCUAGCACAGUGCCUUAUCUAGUCCAGGAGGAUUACUCUGUAACAGACACAAAUAGAGCAAAAAAUACGUGAUGGAUUCCAGCCUAUUUGGAGAAUGGAAGCUGCAGCAGUACAAGGCCAAUUCCAGGGUUUACCCUAAAGUCCACAGAGAUAGUCACUACUUCCCUAUUUAUUUCCACUUACUAUGUAUGGGUUGAGAAGGUGUUUCGAUUGCUCUAGCAGACAACAUUUAUUGAGCAUAUGCUGCCUACUGGUGCUGUGACCCUGUGACUGGAUGAGAAUUCUCAUAGGGCCAAUCAGACAUAAGGACUUACCCUACUAAUGACAUAAGCAACGCUUCUAAUGAGCUCUUCCUUAGCAUGCUUGUCCGCUCGGGAAUAACCAAACUGCAGGGCAGUAAUGGAUUAAAGAUAGCUGUCAAUUUUUUGCUGCUUCUCCCAUUGUUAUGUGGAGUCUGAGUCCUCUUUCCUUGAAUCUGGCUGGCCUGAGUGACUUGCUUGACCAAUAGAGUGUGAUGGAAGUGAAGUUCUGGGACUUUCAAGACUAUAUUAUAAGAAGCCUUGCAGCUUCCACCCACACCUCCUGGAACAACUGCUCUGGAGUAAACCAGCCACUAUACAAGAAAUCUGAUUACCCUGACACCACCCUGCUGUUAGGAAGCUGGAGCUGGGAAAGGGCAUAUGGAGAGAGAUACUUUACCAGCCCAGCUUUACGUGAGUGAAGAGACCUUCAGAUGACUCUAGACUCAGCUGUCAUCUGAUAGUCACUGAAUGAAGGACCCUACGUGAGAACCACCCAACUGAGCUUAUCAACCCCUAGAAACAUCAUAGAUAAUGAUAAAGUAUUUGUUCUUAUAUACUACAUCAAAAACAAACAACUCUGGCUAGGUAAGUUAUUAUCAUUGGGGGAAGCUGGGUAAAGUGUACAAAGGAAAUCUCUGUAGCAUUUUGCCACUACUUAAGAAUCCUAAAUUACUUUUUAAGUUAUUAAAACAUAAAAUACUAGUGCCUUGAUCUGGAGAAAAUCUAUUUUGAAAGAACUAAAGACAGCUGGAGAUUUUCCCUGAGCCGUGUUCCAGAUGCUGACAAUGCCAGCACUGGCUGCAGCCGACAGGUGUGUGUAACUACAGCCCUAAGUACA